rnacentral:rRNA from 1 species
UGGGGAAUAUUGGACAAUGGGCGAAAGCCUGAUCCAGCCAUGCCGCGUGUGUGAAGAAGGUCUUCGGAUUGUAAAGCACUUUAAGUUGGGAGGAAGGGCAGUAAGCGAAUACCUUGCUGUUUUGACGUUACCGACAGAAUAAGCACCGGCUAACUCUGUGCCAGCAGCCGCGGUAAUACAGAGGGUGCAAGAGUUAAUCGGAAUUACUGGGCGUAAAGCGCGCGUAGGUGGUUCGUUAAGUUGAAUGUGAAAGCCCCGGGCUCAACCUGGGAACUGCAUCCACAACUGGCGAGCUAGAGUAGGGCAGAGGGUGGUGGAAUUUCCCGUGUAGCGGUGACAUGCCUAGAGAUCUGGAGGAAUACCGAUGGCGAAGGCAGCCAUCUCGCCUAACACUGACACUGAGGUGCGAACGCGUGGGGAGCAAACAGG